rnacentral:tRNA from 1 species
CCCUCCAUGGCCCAAUUGGCAGAGGCGAACGACUUAAAAUCGUUGAGUUCUCGGUUCGAGUCCGAGUGGGGGGA